GGGCAUGUGAUGCAGUGGUAGCAUGCUCGCUUUGCAUGCGAGUCGUCCUGGGUUCAAUCCCCAGCGUGUCCA
rfam:Schizosaccharomyces pombe chromosome I, complete replicon